AGAUUGAACGCUGGCGGAAUGCUUUACACAUGCAAGUCGAACGGCAGCACGGGGGCAACCCUGGUGGCGAGUGGCGAACGGGUGAGUAACACAUCGGAACGUGCCCAGUCGUGGGGGAUAACUACGCGAAAGCGUAGCUAAUACCGCAUACGAACUCUGGUUGAAAGCGGGGGACUCGCAAGAGCCUCGCGCGAUUGGAGCGGCCGAUGGCAGAUUAGGUAGUUGGUGGGGUAAAGGCUCACCAAGCCGACGAUCUGUAGCUGGUCUGAGAGGACGACCAGCCACACUGGGACUGAGACACGGCCCAGACUCCUACGGGAGGCAGCAGUGGGGAAUUUUGGACAAUGGACGCAAGUCUGAUCCAGCCAUUCCGCGUGCAGGAUGAAGGCCCUCGGGUUGUAAACUGCUUUUGUACGGAACGAAAAGGCGCUUUCUAAUACAGAGCGCUCAUGACGGUACCGUAAGAAUAAGCACCGGCUAACUACGUGCCAGCAGCCG
rnacentral:rRNA from 1 species